AAAGCGGAACAGCUCAAAAGAAGAAGAAGAAGAAGAAGAAGGUUGGCAACACUGAUUCCCCCAGUAGUGAUCGCAAGAUGGCGGAGUGAGGACGUAAGGGAGAGGCUGCCGGGCUCUUUCCUCGCUCCAGACUAAGGCGAUAACAGACAGUCCUCCAGGUGGCAAGAGACUCCUGCAGUGUGUGUGUGGGCGGAAGCUGUCAGUCAGUGCUGGUGUGUGCGUGUGUGUGAGUGUGUGUGCAUGCGAGUGUGUAUACCUGGCAGGACCUUAGCAAAUUAUCGGUUGUCAUGAAAAAUAAUUGCUUCCAUGAAAGAGUGAAGAGAGUGUAAACAAAGAGGAGGAGAAGCAGUGUUGUGAGACGAGACGAGACGAGUGUUUUAGCGACAAGCAACGACUAGUGUUACUGUGGUGGGCGAGGGAAGAAAAAGGAUCCCACAGGUGUUAUUUUGUACCUGUGGCUGAUAGAGGCCGCAAGAACCACCCACCAGUGACCACUGAGGUGCAGUGGGGGGAGAGGGAUGUUAAGGCGUCUCUUCAGGGCUGUUGGCAAUAUCGUGCCUGUGACCAAGAGUGCAAAAGCGUUACGAACUCUAGUGUGCAAUGAUGGUUGAGGGCCGCUGGUGGUGCGCCCAGGCCCUGUUGCCCCCCCUGCCCCUGGCUGACACAUCCACGUGAGGGGCGGGGCGGCCCGUCAGUGUGGCUGCUGCCAGACUGACACAACACUAACAGCAACAACCACAGCAGCAGAGGGUUGAUGGUGAACAUUGUGGGCGUGCGAACUUUGGUCCCCCCCACCGUGGGCGGCCCCCCCAUCACCGAGGCCAAGAUGACGGCGCGCGCCAUCCUACAGUGCAGACCCAACUCACACCCCUUCCCGGAACGGACGCUAGUGCUCGACCAGCCGGUGAAGAUCGGCCGGUCAGUCGCGCGUGCUCGGCCGGCCACCAACAAUGCCAUCUUCGACUGCAAGGUGCUGUCCCGCAACCACGCCUUGCUGUGGUAUGAGAACGGAAAGUUUUACCUGCAAGACACCAAGAGCAGCAAUGGCACCUUCGUCAACAACCAGCGGCUCAGCAAGGGCUCGGAGGAGUCGGCGCCGCGGGAGGUGUGUUCGGGGGACAUCGUGCAGUUUGGCGUCGACGUUAUGGAGAAUUCACGGAAAGUGACGCACGGAUGCAUAGUCGCCACCCUGAAGCUGUACAUGCCAGAUGGACAGGAAGCCAAAGCCAGCCCAUCAACAGCAGUGGGGGGUGCCGUGUCCAGCGUGACGGCCCAGGAGCUGUACCAAUUGAGGACAUACCUACAGGAGGCGCAGCACCGGGAGCAGCAGAUUGAAACCAAGCUGGCGGCCCUUCAGCGACUUGUGUCUUCCACACAGGAGGCGGCCACACACAGCUGGAAGGCCAUGAUUGAUGAGGACCGGCUACUGCAGCGACUAGAGACCCUCGAGGGACAACUCACCACCUACGCCAAGAACUACCCCGAGGACAGUGUGAGGGAGGAGAUGAGGAGAUUGCUGGACGAGAAAUGCCAAUACGAAACCACUGCCAAAGAGUCCCUAAGAAGAGUCCUGCAGGAGAAACUCGAUGCUGCGGCAAAGCUGGCGGACUUGGAAAGAACUCUCAGCACUUCCGAGGAUGAGUUGUCGCACAUGAAGGAGCUUUGUGAGUCUUCCCAGAAGGAGCUGGCCGAGCUGCUUGAGAAACAAGCCGUGCAGAGCGAACAGGUCCUGCAGCUGACCGAGAAACUUAAGGCCGCUGAGGAUCAACUCAAAGAUGCCGAGGAAAAUUAUGAGCAGGAAAAGAAAGAAAUGCUGAAUAAAAUUGUAGAGAAAUCUAGUGAGGAGAACAAGUUGAUGGCAAGAAUAGAGAGCAUAACAGCAGAGAACGACUUCACCAAGGAGCAACUGAGCGCCCUCAAGGCCAAGUAUGAAAAUAUUAAGAAUGGGGAAAUCAGUGGACUCCUAAAACCCAUUAAAGAUUCUGCAGAUCUGGACAUGUUGAGCAUAGAGCCAUCGGACAUGAAGCACGCCCUGGAGGCCACACAGAAGGAGAUCCACACCCUCAAGGACCGCCUCCAGACCGCUCAAGACGAACUGAGGCAAGCAGAGGCAAAUGUGUCUCAACUCAAGCAUGAGGCUGAGCUGGCAGACAGUGUGGAGGCCGGCUGCCUCAGCACCCGGGCGCGCCUCCAGGAGGAGCUGUCCGACAACAAGGCCAAGCUGGCCGCUGACAAAGCACUAACUGAGCACCUGCAGUCCCAGCUGGCCACACUUGAGGACCGCCUGAGAGAGUACCAGAUGAUUUCACAAGUACCAAAGAUCUAUGAUGACAUCUAUGAUGAUAACACACCCACGCUGGUCAGGAAGAAAAAGGAUCUCCCGAAAAACAAGGACAAGCUGAAUGAGGAUGACACCAAAGACGAGGAAUGUCCCAACGACCUAGAGGACAGCCAAGACUCAGACACAACCCUCACCAUCAUCCCCACCAAGGGCGACAACAACCUCACCAUCAUACCCACCAAGGAGUGUAAGGAUUUUAGUGUCAAUGGUAGUUUGGAAGGAAAGGAGGAGAAGGAAGCUGAGAUUGCCCAGGAGUCAGUUUUAUGUACGGACAUCCACAGACUACAAGAGAUGCUUGAGACGAGUCGGAAGUCCCAGGAAGCAGCUGAGAAGGAGGUGGAGCGUGUGAGGGAAGAGCUGGCACAGGCCUCCACAGCUGCCAUCACCGCCUCUCACGAAGCCUCCAAUCUCCGGCAGCAGUUGGCGGCGAGUGAAGCGCUGAUGAGUGAGAAGGUGAAGACGGUCGCCUCACUGCAGAGCCAAGUGGGCCGGCUGGAGGACUCUUCCCAGGAGGUCCAGACACAGCUCUCCAACCUCUCCGUGAGGCUGAGAGAGGAGCAGCAGAAGGUUCAGUUGGCACAGGAGGAAACUCAAACACUUAGGAACAAGCUAAGUGAAGCCGAGGAAUUAGCCCAACUAAGUGUGCAGGAAGCCGAGUCCCUCAAAAACAGGAUACUGGGGCUGGAGGAGAGGUUAGAGUUCAGCCAGGCCUCCCCCACCACGCCCCUAAUCCUACCCCCGCCAGUCUCACGCAACAUUGGCAGCGGUGAGAGUGGCAAUCAGACGAAGACUUCCAUCGAGUCCCUCACUCCCCCAGCCUCCCUAGACGCUGAUGCUGCUGAACCCAUCAUCAAUGCAGGAUCUAAUGACACUGCCAAAUCUACCUCAAGAACAACAGUGAACGAAGCGGGUGAUGCCGAAAGGACUGCAAACAUUAGUACCAAAGAAGCUGAACUGGCGGCUCUCAAGGACACUUUGAAGAAGCUGCAGGAGAAGCUCACCCAGUCACAGCAAGAGUGCUCAGCCUUGCAAGAAAGGGAACUUACUCUAAAACAGACGCUAGAAAGGGAGAGCCAGAGCGCCACAAAAGAUAAUGAACCCGUGUCCUCUGAGAAGGUAGACAGCUUGCAAGAAGAACUGCAAGCCAUUAGGGAAGAGAGGGACAGGUUGAGGGACAAGGUUGGCCUGCUAGACGAGGACUACCAGGUUUUGACAGUACAAAAUAAAAUGACGGUCCCUACCUGGGUCAUGGUAGUUGUGGUGAUGGCUCUGGCUCUAGGAUCUGAACUGUUUCUGAACAUUUUAUAGAAGAUUCACUACUCUAGCUGAUCCUCAUUUCCUCAUUAUCUAAAUAAAGUUAGUAUCACGCUUCCCUAAAUUUUCUGUUAUUAAAAAAUAAUUAGUCCUGAAAAUGAUUGUACGUAUUUGGUUAGAUGGAAUUUUCCCAUUAAAUCUAAAAGAAUAAUAAAGUUCUGUCCAGAAGUUAUGCAGUUAGUUAUGCUGCACAGAAGGUAUGUACUAGAACUAUCCUGCUUUAUUUGUAUCCUUGUACGUAUAACUGUUUAUCACCGUGUAUGUUAUGUAAAAACUGAACAGCUGUAUAUAUGUAUCAUUUAAGAAAGAUCUAUACUAGGUUAGCUUAAAGUUGAAAUGGACAGUGUGGCAGUGAAGUCUUAGGCAGGAAGAGCCAGUCCCAGAAGCCUCAUUUGAUAUUAGCCAAUGUAAGGCCAAGCAGAUCCUUAGCUUGAGGCAAUGGAGAAGGAAGGAGGCUGGUGGGUGUUAUCCUUGUGCUUCCAAUCACUGCUACCCACGUCAACAGGCUGUGGCAUUGAGCCUGGUGCCACUGUGUGUUGUGCUGCUGGGCAUCAUCACCGCCUUCUACGACACCAUCUCUGCUGUUACCGGCACAUCGGAGUUUCAUCCGCCUUCCUAGGUGCACUAUCUGGAAGGUGCCAAGCUGAAAUUUGAUUUUUAUACAUUUCUACGACACUACUAAUUAGAACACGAUGACUGUACUUGUAUCUGUAUUCUUGACUUGCCCACAUAUUUACAGCUUAAUGUUUUAUUUGUGGCUAAGUACUCUUAUUACUGUAAUACGUUGCCUUCCUACUCCUGUUGUACACUUGUGCCUCAUGUUCCUUAGUUGUGAAUCUGUAGUAUAUGAGUGAUGAAACAUUGAAACUUACUGCUCACUUGUUUCACUGGAAAGGUAUAGCCCCAAACAUGUAAUUAAACUGAUGCUGAAUAGUGUAUGAAAUUUUCAAAGCAAGCCUUACUGAGUGACGAUGCCAAAGUUUAAUCAAAUUUUUGUUGGUAGUUUCCCUUCUCCAGUAACCAUACUCAUUUUUCUUCAAUAAGGAAUUCUUUAGAAAAGCUACAGUUUGCUGGAUCAGUUUCCUCAGGGAAGUGGGCUCAACACACCAUGUUUAUUUAUCAUUUCAUGUAGUUUUGCUAAACCUUACACAGCAGUUGUUAAUUUGUUAUACAAACUCCAUGCACAAACUUGUCCAAGGAAAAUAUCAGAAUAAGCAAAAUCUUCUUGCCUGGCAUCAGUAUAUUUUUUUUCCCAUAAUAAGAUGUAACAAUGAAGCACAUGAAUAAAGUCUGUAUUUGGUCAUCCUAUAACAGAGGAACAACUGCUGUGGGGUCACAGAAUAGCGGAAUGAAUGGGAAAGCUGAAUAACUACAACACUGUGAGGAAGUUCAUCAUAUUUAAGGCUAAAUCUUUUUGCUAUUUUCUAAAGUCACUGUUUUUAUAUGGCAUUAUUAAUGAUAAGAUACUUCAUAAUUGUUAAUUUUAGGUCAUAUGAAAGAGGUUUUGAAGUGACGGGAGGAUGGUAAUGUCUGAGAAGUCAUUAUUGCGUACUGCAUAUUCGGCUUUUAAUCAGUGGUAAUUGACGUUAAGUAAGUUGCUUUAAUCUGUUUUUCAAAUAUUGGAAACAUUUAAAUCUCAGGAUACUUGUAGGCAGCCAGAUGUUAUUCUGGCUAGUUUAUUCAUCACGAGGAAUAUUUGUUAAUAUUUAAUUUGUUAAUAGCAUAUAUAAUUUAAAGUAUCAGAAAGCAUCUAUGUUUUUUUUUUUUUUUACCUGACUGAUGAGAAUAGCUCAACAAGGUACAGCAAAGGUGUUGGAAGUCACUGACAUUUUUUACCAGGCGAUGUAAAAAUGUAAAGUUACUUGUUAAAGCUGUUUUCUGGUAACACUGGAAAAGAAAAGUUGUGAACUACUGUGACUGAAAUUUGACCACAAGCUGGCAACUGGUAAUACAGCUGAGAAUCAUUAGAAUGAUCAUGUCAAGCCAUCUUUAUUAAGCAAAGAUAAUUUUCCAUUUUUUAAGUGAUUUUAAUUGUCAAAUUUGAAUGAAAAAACACAUCUGAGGUUUUGCAUGAAAUGCCAAGAAUCUGUUGAAAAUUGUUGAUAUGUUCCCUGAGGUUAUUUAUGUUAUACCUAAAAUUUUGAAGUUACACAAAAAGUGAAGCCAAUAUGUUGCCGUACCUGUUUUUGUCUGUGAUAGAAAUGCAUCUGUGCUUCUUAUUUCUUCUUAAUUAGCACUUAAAUAUUUUUUUCUCAUUUCAUAAUGGUGGUGACAAACAUACCUUUUAAAAUUUUUGUUAAUUUGUUCACUUAUAAAUUUUUGUUCAUGAUUAUGUAUAACAGUAUGACCUUGUUCUCAUGAACUGCAAUUCUUGUAGCUAUAAUUAAUUAAUAAAUAAAUUCUGUAACAUAACUGAUAAAAACCUUGAUCAUAGUUCAUGUGAUGUGCCUCCUAAACACUAGUAGUUAUUGUUCCAAAUCAACAAAUUUAGCAUAUUAUUAAUACUAAAUUAUUUCAGUUUGUCUCACUAUGACCGUGACUAAAUUACAUUAUAAAGACAUGUUCAAACUUAGAUGCAGGCACAGUUAAAUGCAUUGGACUAAGGUUUUAACACAAUGGUUAUGACCAGCUUCAAAGAGGCUGACAAGCAUCAAGAAAUAACACAGCUGUGACAUUUCAGUGAGAAUACAUACAUUAUCUCUGAUUGAAAACCUUUUCUGAGGUGUCCGCAAGGUCCCUUUGUGUCAAGCUCAAUACUGUGUCAGUGUAGGGGAAGUAAUAAUGUAUAUACAGAAGUGGCCAAAUUCCCCCAUGACAAACUUUGGCUUGACACGACCCAGCACCAGCAUCCUAGUCACCUUGGUUUUCUGUUUGACCUUCAUAUGAAGUUGUGUACACAAAACUUCAAGAAAGUCCUCAUGUACAUAUAACUGUAGGAGUGGUCGCUGGAAUGACUGCUGUGUGUAAAGAUCAAGUUCUAUACUGCCAUUAUACAGUAGCAUAUAGUUAAAAUUUAUAUAAAUAUUUAUGUUUAUUUGAUACAUUGUGAUCAUGUUACUGAUGUAGUUGUUCACUUAAUUCUGACAAGGGUUUUCUUGCUUCUACAUGUUCAGAUGACUUGCAAUCAAGCUAUUCUAUUAAUUUCUAAUUUCACUGAUUUUGUGAUUAAAAUUCACAUGUAUUUCAAUAUUCAGCACAUGUAAAUUUGAUGUAUAUUAACAUUUUUAUUAUUUCUAUCGACACGUACAAACGUGGCUGGGCUGAAUGCACCAGCUAAAAACUGCUAAAGAAAAGCUCAUUUUCAUAAUGGAUUAAGUUAGAUGCCAAUGUGUAAGCAGGAUAUGAGCUCUAUCAAACAUAGGAAAGUAUAUAAUUUUGUUGUAUUUUUAUUACAAGUAUUCAUGUUACCUUGAGCCACCAUUAUAAGAAAGGAACCCUUGGGUAUCAGUAGGGGCCCAUAUUGGUUCUGUUUCUCAUGCAGCCCCUCAUUUAUGGGAUUGAUCACCAUAGACAGAAAAAUGUAGACAGUAACAUGUUUCCCAAGCUUCCAAAUAAAAUUAUGCAUCAGC